UACGUAGGGGGCCAGCGUUGUCCGGAAUCAUUGGGCGUAAAGCGCGCGUAGGCGGUCAGGUAAGUCCGGUGUGAAAGUCAAAGGCUCAACCUUUGAAUGCCGCUGGAUACUGCUUGACUUGAGUCCGGAAGGGGCGAGUGGAAUUCCUGGUGUAGCGGUGAAAUGCGCAGAUAUCAGGAGGAACACCAAUUGCGAAGGCAGCUCGCUGGGACGUUACUGACGCUGAGACGCGAAAGCGUGGGGAGCAAACAGG
rnacentral:rRNA from 1 species